rnacentral:tRNA from 2 species
UCCUCGGUAGUAUAUCGGCUAGUACACCCGCCUGUCAUGUACUGUAAAAGACCGGAUACGUUUCGCGGGAGAGCGGGGUUCGACUCCCCGCCGAGGAG